AUGAAGAUGGCGACUUGCAUUCGUAAGGUGGCCUCGGAGGAGUUUGGACUGUCCAGGGGAAGGAGAAGCGAAGAUAAGGAUACCUGGUGGUGGAAUGAUGAUGUCCAGAAGGCGCUUAAAGAGAAGAAAGAUUGCUUCAGACGCCUAUACCUGGAUAGGAGUGCAGACAACAUAGAGAAGUACAAGAUGGCGAAGAAGGCCGCAAAGCGAGCUGUUGGUGAAGCAAGGGGUCGGGCAUAUGAGGACCUCUACCAACGGUUAGGCACGAAGGAAGGUGAAAGGGACAUCUAUAAGAUGGCUAAGAUCCAGGAGAGGAAGACGAGGGAUAUUGGCCAAGUCAAAUGCAUCAAGGACGGAGCAGGCCAACUCUUGGUGAAGGACGAAGAGAUUAAGCAUAGAUGGCGGGAGUACUUCGACAAGCUGUUCAAUGGGGAGAAUGAGAGUUCUACCAUUGAACUGAAUGACUCCUUUGAUGAGACCAGCAUGCGUUUUGUGCGGCGCAUCCAGGAGUCUGAGGUGAAGGAGGCUUUAAAAAGGAUGAAAGGAGGCAAGGCGAUGGGCCCUGAUUGUAUCCCCAUUGAGGUGUGGAAAGGUCUCGGGGACAUAGCGAUAGUAUGGCUAACCAAGCUUUUCAACCUCAUUUUUCGGGCAAACAAGAUGCCAGAAGAAUGGAGACGGAGUAUAUUAGUACCAAUCUUCAAGAACAAGGAGGAUGUUCAGAGUUGUAGUAAUUACCGUGGAAUUAAGCUGAUGAGCCAUACAAUGAAGCUAUGGGAGAGAGUCAUUGAGCACCGCUUAAGAAGAAUGACAAGCGUGACCAAAAAUUAG
rnacentral:rRNA from 1 species